rnacentral:rRNA from 1 species
GAUGAACGCUAGCGGCAGGCCUAACACAUGCAAGUCGAGGGAGAAGCCUUUCGGGGCAGAAACCGGCGCACGGGUGCGUAACGCGUAUGCAACCUACCUUUCACAGGGGGAUAGCCCGAAGAAAUUUGGAUUAAUACCCCAUAAUAUUGUUGGAUGGCAUCAUCUGGCAAUUAAAACUGAGGUGGUGAAAGAUGGGCAUGCGUCCUAUUAGCUAGUUGGAGUGGUAACGGCACCCCAAGGCUACGAUAGGUAGGGGUCCUGAGAGGGAGAUCCACCACACUGGUACUGAGACAGGGACCAGACUCCUACGGGAGGCAGCAGUGAGGAAUAUUGGUCAAUGGUCGGAAGACUGAACCAGCCAUGCCGCGUGCAGGAAGAAUGCCUUAUGGGUUGUAAACUGCUUUUAUAUGGGAAGAAUAAGGUGUACGUGUACAUNGANGACGGUNCCA